rnacentral:misc_RNA from 1 species
GAAAUGCGAUAAGUAGUGUGAAUUGCAGAAUUCAGUGAAUCAUCGAAUCUUUGAACGCACAUUGCGCCCUUUGGUAUUCCUUAGGGCAUGCCUGUUCGAGCGUCAUCUAAACCUUCAAGCCCUGCUUGGUGUUGGGUGCCUGUCCCGCCUCCGCGCGCGGACUCACCUCAAAUCCAUUGGCGGCCCCCGCGUCGGCCACGAGCGCAGCAGAAACGCGAACUCGAGAGCCCGUCCGGGCGGCUCCCAGAAGCUACACCCACCCAGUUUGACCUCGGAUCAGGUAGGGAUACCCGCUGAACUUAAGC